UACGUAGGGUGCGAGCGUUAAUCGGAAUUACUGGGCGUAAAGCGUGCGCAGGCGGUCUUGUAAGACAGUUGUGAAAUCCCCGGGCUUAACCUGGGAACUGCAAUUGUGACUGCAAGGCUAGAGUGUGUCAGAGGGGGGUGGAAUUCCACGUGUAGCAGUGAAAUGCGUAGAGAUGUGGAGGAACACCGAUGGCGAAGGCAGCCCCCUGGGAUAACACUGACGCUCAUGCACGAAAGCGUGGGGAGCAAACAGG
rnacentral:rRNA from 1 species